rnacentral:rRNA from 1 species
GAUGAACGCUAGCUACAGGCUUAACACAUGCAAGUCGAGGGGAAACGAUAGAGAAAGCUUGCUUUUUCUAGGCGUCGACCGGCGCACGGGUGAGUAACGCGUAUCCAACCUGCCCAUCACUUGGGGAUAACCUUGCGAAAGUAAGACUAAUACCCAAUGACGUCUCUAGAAGACAUCUGAAGGAGAUUAAAGAUUUAUCGGUGAUGGAUGGGGAUGCGUCUGAUUAGCUUGUUGGCGGGGUAACGGCCCACCAAGGCGACGAUCAGUAGGGGUUCUGAGAGGAAGGUCCCCCACAUUGGAACUGAGACACGGUCCAAACUCCUACGGGAGGCAGCAGUGAGGAAUAUUGGUCAAUGGGCGAGAGCCUGAACCAGCCAAGUAGCGUGCAGGAUGACGGCCCUAUGGGUUGUAAACUGCUUUUAUAAGGGAAUAAAGUGGGAGUCGUGACUCUUUUUGCAUGUACCUUAUGAAUAAGGACCGGCUAAUUCCGUGCCAGCAGCCGACGG